CCAGGUCUGGUUAGAUUUCUGAAAGGUCAGGGAGCACAUUGAACACAUCAAGGCAUCAUGCCUCAUUUUAAAGGUCUUGUUCAGUUUGCUGUGUUCUCUACUGCCAUCUGGUGGUCAAGAAGGAUCAAUCACUGCCCUUGCAAUGAAGAACUCUAUGAAAGCGAAGGCUUGGCCAUUUUGUGUUCAGCUCCUUCCAGUAAAUACUCCAUGGCAUGAUUAUUUAUUUUUCCUUUUCUCUUAUUCAUAAAUCAGAGUGGCUGUUUGAACUUAACCACCCUUAUCAAAAUCUUUAAAAAUAUUUAAAAUAUUUUGACCCAGUGCUUCCACUUUUAUAAUCUCAAAGAAACAUAAGCAGACAGAUUUAUGUAUGAGCAUGUUUCUCAAAGUGUUAUUUAUAAUAGCAAAAUUGGAACUACCACAAAUGUUCAAAAAUAGGAAUUGUUAAAAUUGGAGUGUUCUGUAC
rnacentral:lncRNA from 1 species